rnacentral:lncRNA from 1 species
GAAAGCCACAUCCACAAGUCACCUGUGAUACUUUUUUUGAAGAAAAAUAUUCAGAAAAGAUUUGGAGAAUGCCAAUCAAGGUCACUGUGAAAAGCAACACAAAGAAACGCUGAUCACGUCUCACUUCUUGCCAAUAUUGCUCAGAAGAAAAAACGACCAGUGAAUUCUGUGUUUGAAAAAAGCAUCUCAAGGGGAAGCUGUCAUUUUAAACAGGGAUGUUGAGAUAGACCUCACUAAGAAGGUACUACCUGAGGAGAAACCUAAAGUUGAUGCUGGAUACACUGAAAGCCCUGACUUGACCACUAUGCCAUCUACCCAGGAACACACAGAUGACAGAGUUCCUUUCCAUCAUAGUGCAGAGGAACAUUUGAAGAGCAAAAGAUCAUUUUAGCAC